UGGGGAUUAUUGGACAAUGGGCGAAAGCCUGAUCCAGCAAUGCCGCGUGUGUGAAGAAGGCCUUCGGGUUGUAAAGCACUUUCAGUGGGAAAGAAAAGCUAAGUGCUAAUAUCACUUAGCCUUGACGUUACCCAAAGAAGAAGCACCGGCUAACUCCGUGCCAGCAGCCGCGGUAAUACGGAGGGUGCAAGCGUUAAUCGGAAUUACUGGGCGUAAAGCGUGCGUAGGCGGUACAGUCAGUCAGAUGUGAAAUCCCUGGGUUUAACCUAGGAACUGCAUUUGAUACUGGUUUUCUUGAAUACAAUUGAGGUAGGCGGAAUGUGUAGUGUAGCGGUGAAAUGCUUAGAUAUUACACAGAACACCAAUUGCGAAGGCAGCUUACUAAACUGUUAUUGACGCUGAGGCACGAAAGCGUGGGGAUCGAACAGG
rnacentral:rRNA from 1 species